UACGUAGGGUGCAAGCGUUGUCCGGAAUUAUUGGGCGUAAAGAGCUCGUAGGCGGUUUGUCGCGUCGGCUGUGAAAACCUGGGGCUCAACCCCGGGCCUGCAGCCGAUACGGGCAAACUAGAAUUCGGUAGGGGAGACUGGAAUUCCUGGUGUAGCGGUGAAAUGCGCAGAUAUCAGGAGGAACACCAGUGGCGAAGGCGGGUCUCUGGGCCGAUACUGACGCUGAGGAGCGAAAGCGUGGGGAGCGAACAGG
rnacentral:rRNA from 1 species